AUUCCUACGGGAGGCAGCAGUGGGGAAUAUUGGGCAAUGGAGGAAACUCUGACCCAGCGACGCCGCGUGCGGGAUGAAGGCCUCCGGGUUGUAAACCGCUUUCAGUAGGGAAGAAGCGAAAGUGACGGUACCUACCAAAGAAGCACCGGCUAACUAUGUGCCAGCAGCCGCGGUAAUAAU
rnacentral:rRNA from 1 species